rnacentral:rRNA from 1 species
UACGGAGGGAGCUAGCGUUGUUCGGAAUUACUGGGCGUAGAGCGCGCGUAGGCGGCUUUGUAAGUUAGAGGUGAAAGCCUGGAGCUCAACUUCAGAAUUGCCUUUAAGACUGCAUCGCUUGAAUCCGGGAGAGGUGAGUGGAAUUCCGAGUGUAGAGGUGAAAUUCGUAGAUAUUCGGAAGAACACCAGUGGCGAAGGCGGUUCACUGGACCGGCAUUGACGCUGAGGUGCGAAAGCGUGGGGAGCAAACAGG